UGGGGUAUUUUGCACAAUGGGGGAAACCCUGAUGCAGCGACGCCGCGUGAUUUAGAAGGCCUUCGGGUUGUAAAAAUCUUUUCUAUGGGAAGAAAAUGACAGUUCCAUAGGAAUAAGGACCGGCUUAUUACGUGCCAGCAGCCGCGGUAAUACGUAAGGUCCGAGCGUUGUCCGGAAUCAGUGGGCGUAAGGGGUACGUAGGUGGGUAAGCAAGUUAGAAGUGAAAUCCUAUAGCGCAAAUAUAGUAAGCUUUUAAAAAUGCUCAGCUUGAGGUAUGUAAGGGAAAGUGAAAUUCCUAGUGUAGCGGUGAAAUGAGAAGAUAUUAGGUGGAAGAACAGCGGGGAAGGAGGGUUUCUCGCCCUAACCUGACGCUGAGGUACGAAAGCGUGGGUAGCAAACAAG
rnacentral:rRNA from 1 species